GUUUGAUUUAGGAUUUAGGAUUUGAUUAGGAUUUGGUUUAGGGUUUAGGAUUCGAAUUAGGGUUUGAAUUAGGAUUUGGUUUAGGGUUUAGGAUUUGGAUUAGGAUUUGGUUUAGGAUUCAAUUAGGGUUUGAUUUAGGAUUUAGGAUUUAGUUAGGAUUUGAUUUAGGAUUUAGGAUUUGAAUUAGUAUUUGAUUUAGGAUUUAGUUAGGAUUUGAUUUAGGAUUUAGGAUUUUAUUAGGAUUUAAGAUUCAAUUAGUUUGGCUUAAAGUUUGAAUGAAGUUCAAUAGGAUUUUAACUAGAAUUAAAUUAAGAUUGAAUUGAAAUGUAUUUGAAUGAUAUUUGUGUUCUUUUUAAUGUUUUUUUAAAAAUUCCUAUUGUUUGUUUGAAAUUUAUUUGAGAUUUUUUUGAAUUUGAUUAAGCUUGCUUAGCAUUAUUAUAGUCUAAUUAGAGCAUUGUUAGUAUUCUAUUAGAAUUAUGGUUUUGUUAUUGCAAUUUCCAUUCUUCCUUCCACAGCCAGGUGUCCGGAGCAUUCUCAAGCCAGACUUCACAUAUUACGACAUAUUUGGUGAAUCU
rnacentral:lncRNA from 1 species